rnacentral:rRNA from 1 species
GUGUCAGCCGCCGCGGUAAGACGUAGGGGGCGAGCGUUGUCCGGAAUUACUGGGCGUAAAGAGCGUGUAGGCGGGCUGUUAAGUCAGGUGUGAAAUACCGCAGCUCAACUGCGGGGUGGCAUCUGAUACUGGCAGUCUUGAGGGCAGGAGAGGGAAGUGGAAUUCCUGGUGUAGCGGUGAAAUGCGUAGAUAUCAGGAGGAACACCAGUGGCGAAGGCGGCUUCCUGGACUGGCCCUGACGCUGAGACGCGAAAGCGUGGGGAGCAAACAGGAUUAGAUACCCUGGUAGUCCACGCUGUAAACGAUGGGCACUAGGUGUAGGAGGUAUCGACCCCUUCUGUGCCGCAGCUAACGCAAUAAGUGCCCCGCCUGGGGAGUACGGUCGCAAGGCUGAAACUCAAAUGAAUUGACGG